GGGUGAUUGGUUGGUUGCUGUUCCUGCCCCCACGCCUGUCGUGGUUUAGCUGAACUGAGCUGAAUUCCUAAAGGCCGCGGAGUCGGCGGUGUUGUAGGUAGCGGUACCUUGAGUGGCAACAGAAUUCGAUUAAAUUACAAUGGGAAACAUUUUUGAAAAGCUCUUUAAAAGUCUACUUGGGAAAAAAAAGAUGCGGAUUCUUAUAUUGAGUUUGGAUACAGCUGGAAAAACCACCAUCUUGUAUAAAUUGAAGCUGGGGGAGACUGUGCCUGCCGUCCCUACAGUAGGUUUCUGUGUGGAGACAGUAGAAUAUAAAAAUAACACCUUCGCUGUCUGGGAUGUUGGCAGCCACUUCAAAAUCAGACCUCUGUGGCAGCAUUUUUUCCAGAACACAAAAGGUGCCAGAAGCCCAGGAAGCACACAUCAAGGCUCACUUGCCAGCGGGGUGCUGCCAAUAAAAUGUAGUCACGUGGAAUUUGGAAUGUGGAAAGGAGGUAGAAGUCAUCCUUUCCUCCCCCAUAGCAGCAGGUGUGCAGGCUCUGGUGGUCAGCUGGACUCCAUACUCCCCCACCAGUCACCAGCCUGGGGACCGUGGGGCUGCAAGGACCUCAGCAGCGGUUUCCCAAGUUUCCUGACUUCUUCCAUCCUCUGGAAAUCAGCUGUGAGCUAUCAGCUUCCCAGUUUGCACAAUUCAUCAAGAAAUUAUGCGGGGUCACUGGCACAAAUGAUGAGGCAUCUCCUGGAAGCUUAACUUCUUAUCCAUCCCAUCUCUUGGACAGAUGAUGCCAGUUAAUUACUUUGAAUGUAAGUAUUUUAUCUAAAAGCACUUAUGUGUCUAAACAGACUUCUACAAAUCAGUACCAAAAUGGUAAAUAAUUCCACAGAAAUAUGGGCAAAAGCUUAUCAUUAUCAACAAAUGAGAAGAAAGAAACCCUAUGCCAGGUAACACCAAAGCUUUGGCCCAGUGCCCUCUGUUGAAACAUCCUAGGCUUUUUCUUUCCACUCCUAUUACAACUGAUCUGAUUUGGCCCCUUCACACCUCACUCCUAGAUUUUGCUAGACCUUUCUAUUUUGUCUCCCUGAAUUAAGCUUUUCCUUUUGGACACUUUACAUAUGGAUUCUAAAACAAUCCUCUGCAUGUCUACACUUGCACAUAAUGCAAAAAACAAAAUAAAAUAAUCUUCCUGUUUUGAUCAUGUAAUCUCUCUUGCUUGGAAACUUUCAAUGGCUUUCCAUACCUCAUUGUGUAACUUUCAAACUCCUGUAGCUGAUAAUCAAGGUUUUACAGAAUCGUAUCUUCAUUGCUCCCUCACCUAAUUCUUUGUAGCCACAUUGGUCUACUAAAUUCCAACCAUACCUGUAGCCAUGCGUUUGCCUAGACUGUACUCCCAUUUUUCUCCUAUUUAACAAAUUAUGGCUACUCUUUAAGACCCAAGUAAAGUUUUAGCUUACCCAUGUAGCAUCUCCACACCUCAAGGAUCACAGAUUCUGGCAAAUUCUAGCACCAAUGGUCUGCAUUAUCUUUUAGUACUUAAUUAUAUAUACCUCCCUUUUUAUGCCUAUUCUCUUUCUUCCCUCCUAUCAUUUUUUUUUUUUUUUUUUUUUUGAGAUGGAGUCUUGCUCUGUCGCCCAGGCUGGAGUGCAGUGGUGCAAUCUCGGCUCACUGCAAGCUCUGCCUCCCAGGUUCAUGCCAUUCUCCUGCCUCAGCCUCCCGAGUAGCUGGGACUCCAGGCACCCACCACCAUGCCUGGCUAAUUUUUUUCUGUAUUUUUAGUAGAGAUGGGGUUUCACCAUGUUAGCCAGGAUGGUCUUGAUCUCCUGACCUCAUGAUCCGCCCGCCUCGGCCUCCCAAAGUGCUGGGAUUACAGGCGUGAGCCACCACACCCAGCCUCUUCCCUCCUAUCAUUUUCGUGUUCUGGAGACAGUAGCAUACUUGGCCCUGGGUUUGACAUAAAACUAGUUCUACAUAUAGAAAGCUAGGGACAAAAAUGAGUUCUGGACAAAACUAAAGGACUGAAUAAUCAUGUGAACAGCCAACUCUCCUACAUAUGCUAAGCACUGAUGAAGUGUUUCAUAUAUUCACUCACCUAAAUUUCACAACAAUCCUAUGAAAUGCUAACUAGCAUGAUCCCCAGUUUAAAGGUGAGGAAAUUGAGUCACAGGCAGAAUAACUUGCUCUGGGUCACCAAGCUAAUAAAUAGAUCUGGGUUCAAACCCAGGCAGCCUGGCUCCGGAAUCAACUCUUAACCACUUAGAGCAUCAUCACUGAGAUCGGGAGAGGGACAGGCUGCUGUAAAGAGGGUGAAGCGAAAAUGGGAGGAGAGCAGCGGUUAAGCAAUGAUGUGAUGGGGCUAAAUAAAAAUGGAUACAAAAACGAGUAAAAGACCAGAGUAAAAGGAAAAGACUGGAGAAGGGGCCUAACAUUAAAAGAGAAUGAGGAGAAGGGAGAGUUGACAAGCAAAGGUGAAAGCAGAAAGUCAGUUGUCCAUAUGGCUUGGGGAGAUAAAGAAGGCCCAGGAAGGCCUCCAGGAAAAGGCUGCCAUGUCAGGCAGGACACAGAGGACAAUUGAGGAAAAGUGAUUCUUACAAGAUGGUGAAGGUGCCAUUGUGGGUGUUGGGCUCUGGCACAGGCACUUGGCGGAGCCUCUGCUCUGGGUUGAGAUCAAUACAUGACAACAUCUCAUCUCCGCAGGUACAGAGCUCACAUAUGUUGGUGCUUGUGGAGGCCUUGUGUUCCUCUGGUGCAGUUAAAGCCUUAUUUUGGGUGUAACUUUCAGACUGCACCAGUGAAUCCUGAGCAGGUUCUAGUUCAGUAGGUGGACCUGUGACUUCAGUCAGGCUUCGAUGCAGAGUCUGAACCCGGUCUGGACGAGGAGCUGUAGUCUUCUCCAGGGCUGUAGAAUGUCCAGUCUCUGUAGUGGGUUCUGGAAUGAUGGCAAGUCCCAGGUCUGGAGGCUGAGUUGAGGUCUCCUCCGUGGUUGGAGACGGUUUAACCUCUGUAGUAGGUUUUGUAGUUAUGGUAAGCUCCAGGUCCAGAGGUUGAACGGUGGCUUGAGUCAGGUGUGAAUGCUGAGCCUGACCCUUGUCUGAAGGUGGAAGUGUCACCUCAGGGUGUCCUGGAGGAGGAGCUGUAGUCAUCAGGGCUGUAGAAGGUUCAACCUCUGUCAUGGAUUUUGGAGUGAUGGUAAACCCCAGGUCCAAAGGUUGAACUGUGGCUCGAGUCAGGUGUGAAUGCUGAGUCUGAACCUGGUCUGGAUGUGGAAGUGUCACCUCAGGAUGCUUUGGAGAAACUAUAGUCCUCUUCGGGGGUGUAGAAUGUCCAACCUCCGUAGUGGGUUCUGGAGUGAUGGUAAGUCCCAGGUCCAAAAGUUGAACUGUAACGCUGGGUGACACUGGAUGCUGAGCUUGAUCCUGACCUGGUGUUGGAUUUGUUACCCCUUGAUAUACUCGAAGUUGGGGUACAACUUUCUUAGGAGGCUGAGUUGGGGUCUCCUUCAUGGUUGGAGAAAGUUCAACCUCUGUCAUGGAUUCUGGAGUGAUGGUAAACCCCAGAUCCAAAGGUUGAACUGUGGCUUGAGUCAGGUGUGAAUGCUCUGGAGGUUGAGCUACAACUACAUUAGGGAACUCUGGAGUCUGAGCUGGGGCCUCCUGAUGGGUUAGGGAAGACUCACCCUCCUCAGCGGUCUGUGGAUGCUCAGCUGCAGCCUCCUGCUGGGUUGGAGAGGGGUUCUCAUUAUUAAUAGGUUCCGGAGAUUGAAAUGAAGUCUCCUGUUGAACUGCUAAAGGUCCAGCUUCUUCUGAUGACUCUGAAAGCAGAGGUGGGCCCCCGUGCUGGAUGGCGGGAGGUUCUAUAUCAUUACCUGACCCUGAGAGCCGAGUUGUAGCCUCCUGCUGGACUAGAGAAGUUCCCACCUCUGCACUAGGCUCUGCUGCUAUGGUGAGCUGCACGUCUGGAGGCUUCACAGAGACACUGGGUGAAUCUAAAUGAUGAGUUUGAUGGUCACCUGGAGGUGAAACUGUGACUUCAUGAUGUUCUGGAGGCUGACCUGGGGUCUCCUGCUGGGUCGGAGAAGAUUCGACCUCCCUAGAAGUCUCAGAAGGCUGAACUGGCUGCUGCUGCUCACUGAUGGAAAGUUCAUGCUCCAUAGGAGGAACUGGAGGCUCAAUUGGGGCCUCCUGUUGGGUUGCAGAAGGUUCCACCUCCUCUGGAAACUGAAUUGGGGUCUCCUGCUGAGCUUGGGAAGAUUCUGUCUCAUUGGUAGCCUCUGAAGUUAUGGUAACCUCCACAUCUGCAGGUUUAACUGUAAUGUUGGGCAAGUGAUAAUAAGCUUGAUCCUCACCUGGAGGUUGAACUGACACCUCAUGAUUCGGUAGAGUUAGACUCUCCAUAGAGGACUCUGGAGGCAGAGCUGGGGCCUCCUGCUGCAUUGAAGAAGGUUCUUCCUCAAGGAGCUGUGGAAGCUGUGCUGGGGCUUCUUGCUGGAGUGAAGAGGACUGGAUGUCUUCAAGGGUCUCUGGAUUUUGAGUUUCGGGCUCUAGAUGGAAUUGAGAAGGUCCAACUUGCUCAGAGGGCCCUGGAGGCUCAUCUGACUUCACCCGGAGUUCUGGAGGCAGGCUACCGGGAUACGGUGUAUCUGUACUGGAAUAUUCAUUCUGCAAAGUCUGUUUCUGACUCUGAGGUGUGGAUAAUUGGCGUAUAAUUCCAAUAAUCUCAGCAAGGCUCCAACGCUGAGCUGGAUCUUUCUUCAGCUUCUUGGGCGAAACAGGGAGCCUUUCCUGUGGACUCAGCUUGUCCUUUAAAUCCUGCUGUGAAGCCAAGAACUGCUCUGGCUCCAGGGGCAGCUCUCCAGCUGAAUCCCAGGUGUCCAGGAAUGGAACCAAAUUUUCAGUCGAUUCCUGGGGUGGGGCUGGCAUCUCUGAGGAAGCAGAGGGCCCCAGGUGAUCAAAGUCCCACGGGUCUGCUGGGAGAGUAGGCGCAUGGGGAGAUUCCCGUGGGAAAUGGGAGGAGUGGGAAGACCAGGGCUCAGGCGGCCCCAGGGGGUUAGAGGUCAGCUGGAGCGGGUCCUUGACCCACUCCAGAGGCUGAGCCUCCUUGACUAGUAGCCACAAUAGUUGCCACAUAAGGAGGGGCCAUGGGCCCCAGAAACGCAGCGGGGACAUGACACACGCUAGUGCCGGGCACUGAGCGGAAGUCAUUCUGGCAGCUCCGAGACGCUCGUGCCCCUUGUAAGCAUGAGUCCCGCCCUGUCUUUAUGACACCUUUAUUUAUGCCACAGAACUGCUCCAUGUCACCAGGGCACUCAUGUCACAAUCCCGCCCAAGCACGCCUUCCCAUCCUGCCCUGCCGGAGCACCCCUCUCCUCCCCUUAGUGAGGAAGGAUUUGGGCCUCAGAUCCUGGUGGUCCCAGGACUCCAGCGCCUGCUGUGGUGGGGUAGGGUGGGGUAGGGUGGGAUGGGGGCGCGGCAGAGCUUCCCAAGGAAGUCACCGGACCUCGCCUCAGGAUAUUCAGAAGUGCUAGUUCAGUUCUGGCAGCCUUCCUCCUUUAAGGUGAAAUCCGAGAACACUCUUCCUUCCAGGGAGAGCAACUGACCUGCAAAAUGGGCGCCAGGAUGUACAUUACAGUCAUUUAUUCCAAAGUGUUGCCAUUUUCGCUAAACUGUCGCAUGUUUGAUAAUUAAUUCACCACCCUAUUAGGUAGGGGCUGCCAGGGAAUAAGCGAGGACUCCAAAUUUUCUGUAGGAGGGGUGUUGGGAGUUGGCAAUUCGGUCUGGGAGAGAAGGUUUUAAUCCGAGUGAAGAGCCCUUUGCACUAGCCUGGGAGGAGGCUGAACUGUCAUCCUGCCUUGACUCAACACAGCCAUUCCCCUAGAAGUUACAGCACUUCUAGGGUCACCUGUGUUCAGAGAUCUACCCUGUGUGCACACAUGGAGAAGAGGCUUAGGUUGUUAAAGUCAGCAUGUUAAAUCAUUUCCUGAAAUGCGACUGUAACUAGAACCCAGCUGACUUCCCCCACAGCCGUUCUUACCUAUUUUAUUACUGUCUGGCAUAAUUACCAGCAUGUAAACUCCAAGAAGGUGCUUCAUCUUAUUUUAGUGCCUGGCAUAGACAUAGGGUGCAUAGUGAUGGCUUUAAAAUUGAAGGGGGGCCGGGUGUGGUGGCUCACACCCAUAAUCCCAGAACUUUGGGAGGCCGAGGUGGGGGGAUCACUGAGGUCAGAAGUUCGAGACCAGCCUGACCAACAUGGUGAAACUCCGUCUCUACUAAAAAUACAAAAUUAGCCAGGUGUGGUGGUGCAUACCUGCAAUCCCAGCUACUCAGGAGGCCAAAGCAGGAGAAUCGCUUGAACCUGGGAGGCAGAGGUUGCAGUGAGCCGAGAUCACAACAUUGCACUUCAGCCUGGGCAACAAGAGAGAAACUCCAUCUCAAAAAAAUAAAAUAAAAUAAAAUGGAAGAGAUUCCAAGAUUCACCUCAUUUAGGGAUGGAGCUAUUAUUAUAAUCAGAUUUCUGAAAUGAGUGCUGACUUCCUCUCACAUUUCACAGGAAGCUAGACUUCUUAAAGCUUGAAGUCUCCUUGGUGGGUUUUAUUUAAAUUGAAUUAAAAUAAUUAUUUUACAGGGAAAAAUUUCAAAACACUUUGCAACUUUGGGGUAAAAGUUAAAUAAAACACUGUAGCCCCAAGUUAAGUUCCCACUGAAAUGAUACUUUUGCUCCUUUUUUUAAAAAAAAUUCCAUAAAUAGUAAAUAAUGACUGUUUUGAGAUUAAUUUAGAAACAAUCCCUAUUUAAGAGCUUUCAUAUGCAGUCAUGCAUUGCUUGCCACGUGAGGAGCUUGAGAAAUGGGUCACUAGGUUAUUUCACCAUUGUGCUAAUAUCAUAGCGUAUACUUACACAAACCUAGGUGGUGUAGCCACCAUACCUAGGGUACACGGUAUGGCUUAGGACUCCUAGGCUACAAACCUGUACUGUAUGUUACUGUACUGAAUACUAAAGGCAACUGUCACAGAAUGGCAGGUAUUUGUGUAUGUAAACAUGGAAAAUAUAUAGUUAAAAUACUGUGUAAAAGAUAAAAAUGGGGCCUGGGCACAGUGGCUCAUGCCUGUAAUCCCAGCACUUUGGGACGCCAAGGUGGGUGGAUCACUUGAGCUCAGGAGUUCAAGACCAGCCUGGCCAACAUGAUGAAACCCCAUCUCUACUAAAAAUACAAAAAUUAGCUGAGUGUGGUGACGCGUGUCUAUAAUCCCAGCUACUCAGGAGGCUGAGGUAGGAGAAUCACUUGAACCUGGGAGGUGGAGGUUGCAAUGAGCUGGGAUCAUACCACUGCACUCCAGCCUGGACAACAGAGUGAGACUCCAUCUCAAAAAAAAAAAAAAAAAAAAAGAUAAAAAUGGUAUACCUAUAUAGGGAUAGCUCCAUUAUACGCUUACGGAACCACCAUCAUAUAUGUGGUCUACUGUUGACGCAAACUUCAUUUUGCAGCACAUGAUUGUAAAUGAUUGACAGAAAGAUCUUCAGCAAAAUAUUCCACCCAAGAUACGUGGGAGAUAUUGAGAUCCAAGCAAUAAGCCAUAUUUGAAAGGCAUUAUAGUUUUCAAAAGCUGUAGCGCAAUCAUUCUUAAGGCCAGUUACCUUCUCCCCACAUCUCUGGGAUCCUGUUUGAAGGGAGUUCUAACAAGGCCUGUGUUCGAGCAGCCCAGCAUCCCUUACUCCUGGAGCGGGGGGAGACUAACCCCUCUCCUGUGUCCACAACUGUAGUAACACAAUCCUCGGUUCUGCUCUCCAAACUUCAAAUAAGGGGUCAGAGCCAAGGGUCAAGACUUUAGGAAAAGCCCCGGAAAUACCCUGCACUCAAAAAGCAGUUUCAGAGUUUCACAUUUUCCUGAGAAUUAAACAAAUUAUCCUCCAAAUUCUGCUGCUUGUUUUGAAUUAUGGUUAUACUGGCAAUGUUAUCCAACCCUUGAGUUGUUUUUCUUUUCUUUUUUUUUUUUCCUCGAGAGAGUGUCUUGCUCUGUCACCCAGGCUGGAAUGCAGUGGCAUGAUCUCGGCUCACUGCAACCUCCGCCUCCUGGGUUCAAGUGGUUUUCAUGCCUCAGUUUCCCAAGUAGCUGGGAUUACAGGUGCCCACCACCACACCCAGCCAAUUUUUGUAUUUUUAGUAGAGACAGGGUUUCACCAUAUUGGCCAGGCUGGUCUUGAACUCCUGACCUCAUGAUCCACCCACCUCGGCCUCCCAAAGUGCUGGGAUUACAGGUGUGAGCCACAGCGCCUGGCCUGUUUGUUUUUUGAGAUAGAGUUUCACUCUUGUUGCCCAGGCUGGAGUGCAAUGGUGUGAUCUUGGCUUACCGGAACCUCCGCUUCCCGGGUCCAAGCGAUUCUCCUGCCUCAGCCUCCCGAGUAGCUGGGAUUACAGGCAUGUGCCACCAUUUCUCCAUGUUGGUCAGUCUGAUCUUGAACUCCUGACCUCAGGUGAUCCACCCGCCUCAGCCUCCCAAAGCACUGGCAUUACAGGUGUGAGCCACUGUGCCCGGCCCUGUUACCUUUGAGUUUUUAUCUCCACAUACUUAUAUUAAACCGUGUAGUUCUUCUUCCCAUCUGACAUCUACAAUCUCUUCACUGGGUCUGUACUCCAUAGCUAUUUUACCACUUUCUGAAAUAAAGUUAGCAAGGAUGAAUUCAGAAUCUUUUUCAUUCCAAAACUUCCUGCAUAUAAUGGUAGCAACCCACAAUGAGACAUUCUUUUAGUUUCUAAAAGCAGGAAAUAAGCAUUUUCCUGAAAGUUUCCUCAUCUCUUCAUCAUACACUUCGAUUUUUGUUUUUCUUUUUUCUUUUAGACAGGGUCUCACUCUGUCACCCAGGCUGGAGUACAGUGGCACUAUCAUAGCUCACUGUAGCCUGGAAUUCCUGGGCUCAAGUCAUCCUCCUGCUUCAGCCUCCAGAGUAGCAGGCACUAUAUCACUGUGCCCAUCUAAUUCUCUUUUUUAGAGACAUGGUCCCGCUUUGUUUUCCAGGCUGGUCUCGAACUCCUGGCUUGAAGUGAUCCUUCUGUCUUGGCCUCCCGAAAUGCUGAGAUUUCAAGCGUGAGUCAUCAUGUCUGGUCUCACAGCUCAGUUUUUAACAUAUGUAUGAAAUAUCAACUGUGUUUGGUUCAAAGGACUUUAUGAUCUUACAGAUAGGAACUAAGGAAUAAUAACAUAAGAAAUAAAAAAUGUGGAAAUAAAAACGUUCAAUCAUAAUAUGAUUAAAAGGUAAGGCACCAGGUGGGGGGUCGAAGUAAGUUCAAAUCCAAAAUAGAGACCACUGGGCUAGUAGACACUUCACAUUAGAAGCAUGGCUAGGUGUCUACUCCCUGAGAACCAAAAUUCCACCAGAUACAAUGAACAAAGCUUUAGAGAGAGAAAACAUUUGAACAUUUUACGGGCAGAAAAUGGCCCACAUACUCUAUAGACAAUACAAUUUCCUUCAAGGCAAACUAGAACUAUAAGGCUUUUGGUCUAAGAAGUGAGUGUGUGCAAGGGAUACCUUUGCAUACUAGGGAGGGGUAGACAACCCACACAUUUAGCUUGGUUAUUAAAUGUCAUUACUCAGACUUGACAGUUGAUGACCAAGGAAGUAAGACUUUCACUAGAAGGGCUGCCCAGGUUGGAAAGCUGAGAGCAAUCAUGGCCACCUCUUACAAGCAAAUAAAGGUCUGUAGUAACUUAAUUACAAUCUCAGUCUCUAAGCCUUCAGGGUUGUGAAGCAGAAAGGCAACUCUGUUCAGGGACUCGUUAAACACCAGGUUUCCUUUGGGCACAGGCUAUGACAUUUGUGCCACUGUAGAACUGAAUAGGAAAUACAAGCAGUGCCAUUCAACAGCAUGACCACUUCCAAGGCUCACAGCAAAGCAGCUGAUUAUUGUAUAAGAAUCAUAUUUGGCCAAUAUGUCAGUGCCAGAAAUGAGAGCUGGAACUGAAUUCUCGAUUCGAGAAACAUAAUCUAAUAAAUUCUUCAGCAGAGUUUAUUUAUUCAGAGAGAAAACAAUCACAACAAUAGCAUAUUUUGUCUGCUUACCUUGUAAGUAUAGUUCUGAGUUUUUACACUUGUCAUCUCAUUUUUUCUUACAAUAUCCGCAAUAAGGUUGAUUGGAUUACUAACCCCAGUUUGCAGAUAAAGAUUGCAGCUUAGAGAUAUUAAAUAUCUUCAAAUCUCUCUGGCCAUAAGACCUAAAACUGCAUACAAAAAUCUAAGAGACAGAGUUAGGACUCAAAUCCAUGUGUCCAGGGCUUAUAAUCACUAUUCUGUACGAUAGGCAUGCAAUUAAAGAAGACCUGCCUCAAACAUUUUCUGUGUGACCUGAGGCAAGUCCUUUUAUAGCUAUAAACUAGGGACAAUAUUUGCUGUCAUUUUUUCUACAAAUGUCACAAAGAACAAAUUUGAGCCUGUCGCUGUGAAAGAACUUAGCAAAUGAAAGCAUCCUAGGGAGUGUUUUAGAUAUCGAUAUUUUUAUCCAAUUAACUUUUCAAAAUGAGUUUAUUUGCUCACUGAAACUGAAGUACUUCAACGACGAUUAAGAAAGUUUUACCUAGAACCACAAUCAACAGUUUCUGGAAUGCAUCUGACAAAGCCUUCUCAAUAGCAAUCUGGGCUAUCUUCCCUUUCAUAGGAAUGACAACGGUCUUAAAUCCAACCCAAACUAAUGGAUUUAAGAUGCCUAUCUGAGUGAUCAUUGCUACAUGUUGGUUAAAAAAUAAAAAUGCAUCCACGAAUCUUAGCUCAUAAUCUUCGUGAUUAAAGGCAGACAGCACAAGGGUAUGGUUGAACGUCUCUGUUAUAGGUACAUCCUGGCAGGGCCCAUUUUUACUGCCUCCAUCUAGUUGGGAAGUUCCUAAAGUACUAGAGGGAGACACAAGCCAAGAACCUGGCACAUAUCUCACAUCACCCAGAGAUUUAAUUCAUCAGUUAAGGCUACACUCCUAUGGACCCCACCCUCCUAUGCAUCAAGGGCUGGAAUCACUCACUGAAAAAAAGCUUUGUUGGCUGGACACGGUGGCCCAUGCCUGUAAUCCCAGCACUUUAGGAUGCCAAGGCGGGUUGAGGCCAGGAGUUCAAGAACAGCCUAGCCAACGUGGUGAAACCCCAUCUCUCCUAAAAAUACAAAAAUUAGCCGAGUGUGGUGGCACACACCUGUAAUCCCAGCUACCUGGGAGUCUGAGGCACAAGAAUAGCUUGAACCGGGAGGCGGAGGUUGCAGUGAGCCGAGAUCAUUCCACUGCACUCCAGCCUGGGUGACAGAGUAAGACUAUUUUCAAAAAGAGGCCAGGCACAGUGGCUCAUAUCUGUAAUCCCAGUACUUUGAGAGGCCAAGAUGGGCAGAUCACUUGAGGUCAGGAGUUUGAGACCAGCCUGAGCAACAUGAUGAAACCCUGUCUCUACUAAAAAAUUUUUUAAAAAUUAAAAAUUGGCUGAGUGUGGUGGUGGGCAGGAGGGAGGUGAACUGCUUGAACCUGGGAGGUGGAGGUUGCAGUGAGCCGAGAUCACACCGGUGCACUCCAGCCUGGGCGACAGAGCAAGACUCUGUCUCAAAAAAACAAAAAAGGUUUGGUACAGAUAAUCUGGCUCCUCCCUGGGCAUCAUCCAUGAAAGCCUACUCCCCUCCAUUAGCCUACAGCCCUGCCUCUGACUUCAAACCCUAAGCCUGAGGGCCAUGAGUACUAGAAAAAAAUCUCAACGUCAGUUAUCAAUUGAGUACCCUUUCUAGUAUCUCUAGUAGACUCUUGUUCCACUGAAGCCCUUCUACGAGUAAAAAAAAGGCUGAAUGGGCCGGGCGCGGUUGCUCAUGCCUGUAAUCCUAGCACUUUCAGAGGCCAAGGCAGAUGGAUCACGAGGUCAGGAGUUUGAGACCGGCCUGACCAACACAGUGAAACCCCAUCUCUACUAAAAAUACAAAGAUUAGCCAGGCAUGGUGGUGCAUGCCUGUAAUCCCAGCUACCCAGGAGUGUCAGGCAGGAGAAUCACUUGAACCUGGGAGGUGGAGGUUGCAGUGAGCCGAGAUCACACCACUGCACUCCAGCCUGCGCGACAGGGCAAGACUCUGCUUCAAAAAAAAAAAAAAGACAAUGUUUACACAAAACUUUCUGUAAAUCUUUACAUGAUGACUUGGCAUGGUGGGUGGCUCAUGCCUAUAACUCCAGCACCUUGGGAUCCUGGGGCAAGAGGAUCACUUGAGGCCAGGAGUUUGAGACCAGGCAGGACAACACAGCAAGACCCCAUCUCCAGAAAAAAUAAUUAGCCACAUGUGGUGGCGCACGCCUGUAGUCCUGGCUAGUCAGGAGGCUAAGGUGGGAGGAUCCCUUGAGCCCAGCAGUUUGAGGUUGCAAUGAGCUAUGAGCAUGCUACUGCACUCUAGCCUGGGCAACAGAGCAAGACCCUGUCUCUAAAAAAUAAUAAUAAAUAGAUAAACAAAUCUUUAGAUAAUUUUGUUGGGAUAACUGAAGGCUAUAAGAGAUACAUAUUUGAAGGACUAUUUUAGACGAGAUUGGGCGCGUUCAGGGUGGUAUGGCUGUAGACUUGAAGGACUAUUUUAAUACAAAGCAAGUUCUUAACCGAAAACUGGAAAAACAUUACUUCCUUCUUCCUCCUACGCUUCUUGGCAGGAAGUACACUGUACAAUUUUAAAUUUAAAGGUUCUGGCCGGGUGGGGUGGCUCACACUUGUAAUCCCAGCACUUUGGGAGGCCAAGGCAGGCAGAUCACGAGGUCAGGAGAUCGAGACCAUCCUGGCCAACAUGGUGAAACCCCAUCUCUACUAAAAAUACAAAAAUUAGCUGGGUGUGGUGGUGGGCGCCUGUAAUCCCAGCUACUCAGGAGGCUGAGGCAGGAGAAUGCCUUGAACCCGGGAGGCGGAGGUUGCAGUGAGCCGAGAUCACGCCACUGCACUCCAGCCUGGUGACAGAGCAAGACUCUCUCUCAAAAUUAGUUAAUUAAUAAAUCAAUGUAUUAAAUAAAUUUAUUAAUUAAUAAAUCAAUGUAUUAAAUAAAUUUAUUAAUUAAUAAAUCAAUGUAUUAAAUCAAUUUAUUAAAGCAAUUUAUUUACUUAUUUAAAGGCUCUGUCAGGUAUUGCCUAAGGUAAAAGUCUGUAUUGUAAGACAGAAAACCUCUGCCCAGGACUUCAGUAGCUCAGAGAGGGAAAGGCUUGAUAUGUGUCUGAAAAGACAAGUUUUAGACAGCAAGAAAAAAGAGAUCCUUCCCAUUUCAACUCCUUACCCUCCUCUACCCCCAAUGAAAACAGACCUUCCUUCGCCUUAUCCACAGGCUCCUCCACCAAGCCAAGGCCAGACUCCUGCAAUCAUAGGAUGGCAACACCACCUCUAAAGCACAGAACUUCAGGCUUUGCUUCGGAAGUGGCACCAUGGUCUCUUCAUUUUCCCUUUCUUCAAGGCAAGUUUGAAAACCACUGCUUUAAAGAAAAUGGAUACUCCCCUUACCAAGCAGAAAGUAGGAUUUUGGAAACUGAUGCAAGGGAAGCAAAAAAGAUGCCUCAGGAGGCACGAUUACAACAGGAUUGAUGCAAACGGAAGCUGAAGCUUAACCAAAGACAUUAAUAUACGCCCACAAAAGAAAAUGCUAAGGAAGUCAAGUGGUCUGCAUGAAUUCUGAAGAAAAAUGGAGAACCAAAGAACAAAAUUUGUCAAUGAACUUCCAGCACAGUCUAGGUUAAGGGAGUGAAUUUCUUGACUGAAUGGCACAGACUCUGUACCACCUGAUUGGCUGUUACCUUAAUGGAGGAAUUAUAUUACAAUGUAUAGGUACUUUAAUUAGAAUGACCUGGCAGUUACUGAGGCAAAAUUUUCCGCUCCUUUGUAUUCUGUAAUACAAGAAGGAUCUACAUGGAUGUUCUGUUCUCUGAACUGUCUGGAUGAACCGGUCAACGGCACUCAUCAUACCUUAGUUUUUAAAUCUGCAUUGUGGUCAUAAUCUGUUAUUUAAUUAAUUUCUCGUAUUUUUAAUAAAAACUUUGCCUAUA